CAAGGGCGAGAGAUUUCCGCAGCAAACCUUCGUCAAUCCUGCGGCUGCAGGAGCGCGGUGCCAUCUGCAGCCCCACACCCCCCCAAUCCCCUGUCAGCUGCCGCCGAGCUGGAGGAGCCAGGGCCUUUCGUAAUUCCACGGUCACACACGCGCUGCCCAAUUUAUUUAACUCUUUCUCUGCGCUUUACUCUUUAAACGGUGACGAAAUAGCUAGAUGCAGGGAGCUGGAUCCGAAAGUGCGACGUGCCAUCCUGGAGCCUGGAGCUGGGAAGUUUGCCCGCUUCUUUGCCGACCCUGCAGAGCACAAGUGGCAGCGCGUAGGUUUUUGCAUAGCUUUAACCCAGAGCAUAUCCGCUCCAGGCUCACAAGAGUGACAGCUAUCCCAUCAUCUGCCACAAGCUGGUCGUGUGAAAAUUAGAGGUGGAGGUACAAGGCAUUCAAAACCAUAGCCAAGCUCAAGUUCCCGUAAGGUUUGGAUGGAUACAGAGAGGGAUAUAGAAGAGGGAUGGGAAGUUUGUCACAUGGAGAGUUAUGAGACACAAAGAAAUGGUUCACAUCUGGCUUGAACCAGCAAAAGGUCCAAAUUUUCCCACCCUCAUUAUGUUAUCCAAAGACAGAGAGUCUGUCCAUCUAGCGGGGAGAAGUUCACUGCAUCAUUCAAUGUUCACUGCAAUUUCAAUGCUUUUGCAUUUGCAUCAGCCCGGCAACAUUCAAAAAUCUCUGAACUGACCUCAACACCAGCACAGAAGUGCAGAAGUAUAAGCAAGGGGAAAUAGGAAACCUUGUUGUUUCACAAUUCUUUGCUGCCUAGGUGCGUAGUUCUGAGCUUCAUGGUAAGAGCUAGUAAGCUCUCCUCACAGAGUAGGAAGACAAAACAAAAUCCUUUUCCUGCUGAAGACCAAGAACAGCUUUCAGGCCCAAAAACAUAAAGAAUGGUGGACUGAAGGGAGGAAGAAGAAGAAUGAGACCUCACAACCUGAAGAUGUAAUUGGAUGUAAUUAAACUCCAAUAUGCAAAUGGACCAAAACUUACAGAAGUGUGAGACCUCGUGACUAGUCGUCCAUUUUGUGACCAUUCUAAGUCCACCUUGGGUGUAGCCCUGGUCAGGCUCCUGUCCUGUCCAAGGGCUCUUAAAGCCCUUUCAGUAAAUAUCUACUUUAUUCUCUAGCUCUGUUCAGUCUCUGUUUCAAGUCAGCCUUCCCAAGGCAUCAAGAUGACUUCUGAAUAUUUCCAUA